GACGAACCGUGCGAACGUUGUUCGGAAUCACUGGGCUUAAAGGGCGCGUAGGCGGGUUCGCAAGUCUGUGGUGAAAGCCUCCAGCUUAACUGGAGAAGUGCCAUGGAUACUGCGCAUCUUGAGGAGGGUAGGGGCGUCUGGAACGGUCGGUGGAGCGGUGAAAUGCGUUGAUAUCGACCGGAACUCCGAUGGCGAAGGCAGCUCGCUGGGACGGUACUGACGCUGAGACGCGAAAGCGUGGGGAGCAAACAGG
rnacentral:rRNA from 1 species